rnacentral:rRNA from 1 species
UACGUAGGGGGCUAGCGUUGUCCGGAAUCAUUGGGCGUAAAGAGCGUGUAGGCGGCCCGGUAAGUCCGCUGUGAAAGUCGGGGGCUCAACCCUCGAAAGCCGGUGGAUACUGUCGGGCUAGAGUGCGGAAGAGGCGAGUGGAACUCCUGGUGUAGCGGUGGAAUGCGCAGAUAUCAGGAGGAACACCGGUGGCGAAGGCGGGUCUCUGGGCAGUAACUGACGCUGAGGAGCGAAAGCGUGGGGAGCGAACAGG